GGGGGUAUAGUUCAGUUGGUAGAGCGCCUGCCUUGCACGCAGGAAGUCAGCGGUUCGAGUCCGCUUACCUCCA
rnacentral:tRNA from 1 species